AACGGCCAUACCAUGCUGAAUAUACCGGUUCUCGUUAGAUCACCGAAACUCGCUGAUCAUUGGGCGCGGUCAGUACUUGGGUGGGUGACCACUUGGGAACACCGCGUGCCGUU